UACGUAGGGGCAAGCGUUAUCCGGAUUUACUGGGUGUAAAGGGAGCGCAGACGGAACUGCAAGUCUGAUGUGAAAGCCCGGGGCUCAACCGCGGGACUGCAUCGGAUACUGUGGAUCUGGAGUGCCGGAGGGGCAAGCGGAAUUCCUGGUGUAGCGGUGAAAUGCGUAGAUAUCAGGAGGAACACCGGCGGCGAAGGCGGCUUGCUGGACGGCAACUGACGUUGAGGCUCGAGAGCGUGGGGAGCAAACAGGAUUAGAUA
rnacentral:rRNA from 1 species